rnacentral:misc_RNA from 1 species
CCAGAUUAUUGCUAAGAGCCCCAAUGAAGAAAUCCGCAAUCCAAACGAAAAGCAGAGGAUUUUCCCUUCUGUUUAUCUUUUUUCUUCAUUGGGGCUACUGGCAGAGUCAUUGAAAAAGGAAGAUCCAGAUUAUUGCUAAGAGAUGUCGUUAACUGCCAGUACAACCAUGAGUGCGGCUACUUUGCCAAUAGUGAGAGCAGGGGAUCAAUGCCGGAAGCAAUUCAAGCCAAUAGCAUCAAUUCCUGCUGGCCUCCAUCCGCUUGGCAUGCAGUCUCAACUCAUUAACAAUAGAAGACGAUUGAUAUGUCCUGCUCAACAAAAGCGUGCUUCAAUUAUAUGUUCUUCUGCUCUGAAUGCGAGAUGUGCUGAAGGACAGACACAGACGGUUACACGGGAAUCAUCGACCAUUACAGUUGCACCAGUUCAAGGAAAGGAGAAAUCUCCUGACCUUGAUGAUGGUGGGACUGGGUUCCCCCCUCGAGAUGAUGAUGGAGGCGGAGGUGGAGGUGGGGGUGGCGGAGGCAAUUGGAAAGGUGGGUUCUUCUUUUUCGGGUUUCUUGCUUUCCUAGGCCUCUUGAAAGACCAGGAAGAUGAAGGACCCUACCGGGAUCAACGCAGAAGAUGAAGAACCAGCAUACGAUAUAUAUCAACAUAGAAAUCAAAGAGGUUUGGAAGCCUGAGAGUCGUAAUGGUCUUCCCUCAUUAUUGUCCAGUCAUGGCUUCGAGCAACGACAAUAACCUUCUAUUGGUUAUGUAUUUGAAUGUAACUUGUAGCUCAUUUCUAUGCCCUUUUUCUAUGUCCUUAGAAAUGGACAUUUGUUUCAACUCUUCCUUUACCCUGGAUGGUUGGAUAAGUUGCAAUCAUAGCUUUAAUUGGUUGUAUAAUGUCCUACUUUUGGUUCCUUUUUGCACUCAAGGUUGUCGUCUAGCAGUCAACGAGAUGGAAUGGAAGUCCCUGGAGAAGGCGAGACACCCUUCUAUUUAUAUGUUUUUGAGAGUAAAAUAAACGAGAUGGAUGUUGUCGAUAAAGUUGGG